rnacentral:rRNA from 1 species
AUACGGAGGGAGCGAGCGUUAAUCGGAAUUACUGGGCGUAAAGCGCGCGUAGGUGGCUAUUUAAGUCGGAUGUGAAAGCCCUGGGCUCAACCUGGGAAUUGCAUUCGAAACUGCAUAGCUAGAGUAUGGUAGAGGGAAGUGGAAUUUCCGGUGUAGCGGUGAAAUGCGUAGAUAUCGGAAGGAACACCAGUGGCGAAGGCGACUUCCUGGGCCAAUACUGACGCUGAGGUGCGAAAGCGUGGGGAGCAAACAGGAUUAGAUACCCCAGUAGUCC